UAGAGAAUCUUCCACAAUGGACGAAAGUCUGAUGGAGCAACGCCGCGUGUGUGAUGAAGGGUUUCGGCUCGUAAAACACUGUUGUAAGAGAAGAAUGACAUUGAGAGUAACUGUUCAAUGUGUGACGGUAUCCUACCAGAAAGGAACGGCUAAAUACGUGCCAG
rnacentral:rRNA from 1 species